GGUUUAAGGGAGUUCUCAGUUACUGUGAAAACAAAUCAUUACCAGAAACUGGCAUUCCCAAUUUAUUUUAUUUAUUUUAUUUUUAUUUUUAUGACUUAGACCCCAUUCUCCAUAUUUUCCAUAUGUUUGGGGUCCUUUUCAUCCAUUCAGCACCUCGCAGAGAGCUCAGCUCACCCCUAUCUCCUAUUGGGUCAUGACGAACAAGAGAAUUUUGCUGUUUUCACUUUUCAGUUUCAAAGGUGGUAGAAACAUGAGUACUCUCGAAGAAGAGGAAUGAGAGUAACUUGACCAGGUUUGGAGAGCAUUUGAGGGAUAUUGUGAUUAAAUUGACUUUGGGGACACCCAGCUGCAAGUCAAGACAUGGAGUCCAAAGCAGUGACAACUGCCACAAGAAUCAAAUGGAAAGAGACACACCCUCCAAAGAUGCCAGGGACGAAGACAACAUUCUGUACAGAUAAAUACAAGCCUGAAUCUGCAGUCACUGGGGGCAGCCUCUGUUAGUGGCCCCUAAUGUUCUACUGAGCUGCCUCUCAAAUCUGCGACCUCAGAUGUGACAGUUGGACCAUAAAGAAGGCUGAGCACCAAAAAAUUAAUGUUUUCAAAUUGUGGUGCUGGAGAAGAUUCUUAAGAGUCCCUUGGACUGCAAAGGAGAUCAAACCAGUCCAUCCUAAAGGGAAUCAACUCUGAAUAUUCACUGGAAUGACUGAUGCUGAAACUCCCAUACUUUGGUUACCUGAUGGGAAGAGCUGACUCAUUGGAAAAGACCCUGAUGCUGCAAAAGAUUGAAGGCAGGAGAAGGGGAUGACAGAGGAUGAGACAGUUGGAUGACAUCACUAACUCGGGAGAUAGUGAAGGACAGGGAAGCGUGGAGUGCUGCAGUCCAUGGGGUUAGCAGAGAGUCAGACAAGACUGAGUGACUGAACAACAAGAACUAACUCUUAAGACAUAUCAUGCUUCCCCACCAAUCUCUGCAAGUAAAGAAGACAGGGAAUGUCAUUUCCCCAUACGAAUUCUAUAAGCAUCUUCAAGAAGCAGAAUUAUCCCCAGCUAGGACUUCAUUGAAAUAGUAGACCAUUUGGGGGCAUUUUUAGUCUCAGCUCUGGCUCUGUGUUGGUGAGAUGCGCUGACAACUUCCAGCUACAGAAAUACGCAUACGCCCUUCUGUAUGAGGGACACGCUACUGC
ensembl:lncRNA